rnacentral:lncRNA from 1 species
UUUAGCUUGAUUAUUUUAAUUAUUUAUUUUUUUUUAGAGAGACAUUGAUAACCUGAUGCUCCCCAAAAUCAUCUACAAAACAAUCUUCUUUUCACAUAGCCCACCUGUGUCUAGCCCGUGUAGCCCAUAAAAUCCAUGUUGUGAUUUUUCUGAGGGCAGACUUUUCCUUGCUUUUUCAUUUUUUCCAAUGUCCAUAUAGCUACAGAAAGUCCCACACAAACUGAAAGGUGAAACACAAAGCAGAGAAGUUACAAUAAACUCACUUUACUCCAAGCAGUACCAAGUGACCGUGUGAAGUGAAGCACAAAAAACCAAGCUAUUUUUCUCUUUCAUCUUUUCAGCAACAGGGACGUUAAGGUAUCCUUCCUGGUAGGGGGUGAGACUCAGAUGUCAUGCUCAAGAAUGAUGUUGUAUACGUCCCUUUAAAAACUUUGAAUAGAAACUAGUUUAAAUUUGAAUCUAAAAAGAAAAAGCUGGUUUCAACUUGGAACUGGCUAAAACGUUUCACACAACAUCUCUGUCAGGGGAAAAAAAAAAAUAGCCAUUUUCUUUUAAUUCUAAAUGUUGCUUUUGAUCAUUUUUAAUGGAAAAAGGUUAAAACACUGCUUUAUGUUCUUACCACGGACUGUUCAUUUCACUCCAGAUUUACAGCAGCAAGAGCCAGACCCUGAAAUGGGGUGGAGGUGCUGCUUGGAAAUCCCCUGUAUUUCUGUCUCGGGUUGGCUGUGUACACAAAAACUGAUCGUCUUUCAAGAAAGCGAUGUAUGCACAAGACCACCCCACACGUGCAGGUAGGAUGGGUCAGGUGGGAUGUGGGCUGAUGCAGGCCACCACCACCCGCCCAGUCCCAGUGACAAUGAAGGGUUUCACCAGCUCCGACCUGCCCAAACAGCCCGAGGGUGCCCCUGGGCUCCCCAUGGGGCUUUGGCAGGUGGGAGCCCCAGCCAGGUCCUGUACUGAGCCAGGUCUGCAGGCUGAGCUGGCAGAAAGCCAUUCCCUUGUUCUGUCGGAUAGAGGGAGGGACGGGAAGGUGCCAUAAGGAAUGAGGGGACAGGAGGUGCAGGCGGUAGAUUGCAGAACUGCCCAUUACAUCCAGUUAGCCUAGGCAGAAGGAAGAAACAAAUAUUGCAGUGUACAAACUAUGGGCCAAGUAUCCUUUUUGCACAGGAAAAUUUGAGUCUCAUCUUUCAGGAGGAUUUUUUGAAAUAUUUUUUUGUUUCCAAAAGACGUUCAUCUUUGAAGUGAAGUUUGCAAAACUUUCUUUGUCCAAUUCUCUGUACAUAUUUUUUUGCAGCCCACAAAGGAAACUUUGCCAUAAUAAAUUUCAUUCAGUCUUCAUUUUAGUUUUUGUUGGAGACUCAUUUGAAUGCAUCCACUAAACAAACUACUCUUCUUGCCCAGGCUUUUUGAGCUUUAGAUGUCCUGGAUAUGCAAUCUACCAACUGGAAUAAAGGUACCUCAGGGCUUUAGCAGAAAAAAAAAUAAAUCAAAAUCCAAAUCACUGAAUUCAGAUAGUACCAAGACCAGCAGUGGGGUCAUAGAACUGGCUGACUUCCAGGAACAAUGAAACAUUUGAUCCCACUUAAUUAGCCUGGUAACAUGGGAUCAGGCACCAAAAUCAUAACUAGAAAGAUAUAAAUGUCAUGAAAACAAAUGAAAACUAAUACAAAAAUAUUUUAAUGUUAUCUGAUCAGAAAUUCUAUUUUGAGAAACAGAACAAAUACAAACAGCACCAUUACUUCAUGAACAUCUUCCCUCAGAUUGUUUGAAACAUAAAUGCAGAUUUAAAAUACAGUUUCACAAAGAAAACAGUUAGAAAAAGAAUAAAUAGUUACAAUGCAUUUGAGAAACAUCUUGAAAUCGAUUUUUAAAGGACAUGACUUUAUGAUGAAAAUACAUCUGGAAGAAUGGCAUUUUUGGUUUGUUUAACAAUCCUCACAUUUUCCUAGAAGGAAAGCUGGGUGGGCACUCUCUGUACCACCCCUCAUUAUUCUCAAUUAUUAGUGUUUGCCAAUAGGUAAUAGCUGUGAAGUUACUUUGACUUUGUUAUGAACAGCCAGUGGGAGUUCUGAAAAAGGUAGAUUAAAUACCAGAAGGAAAAUGAGUGAAAUGAUAUAAAAUGGAGCCUGAUCCUGCUAACCCAUCCUCCAAUAAGCAAUCCUCUUUCUUUUCUACUUACUGUACAGUGUAAGAGCUUCAGGAUUAAGUCAGAUCUUGGAACCAUAAUUCCAUUUAUUUGGAGAGGCUAACAUGCCUUUUGCUCCACAUAAAUGUUUUCAUUUAAAAGGAGAUUGUCAAGUCUGAAAGCAUAUUAAAUUCAUGAUUAGAGGAAACUUUGUGUAGCUUCACACAGCUCAGGGGACUGUGCAGAGCCAUAGGGAUGGGGGGGAUCUCAGCAGCUCCAGCACCCAGAGCAGCCCCAGAGCUGCCCUCCCCAGCCCCAGUCACCGUGUGUCUGGCAGCCAGACGAACAAACACACACUGCGCUCAUGCAGCUGGAUGCACAUGACAUGUGUGGAUGCAACAUUGCCGGAGACCUUUGGAUGUUCAACACCUGCAGGAACUCCAGGGCCACUGAUGUUUCCCACUGCCAUG